rnacentral:rRNA from 1 species
GUGGGGAAUUUUGCGCAAUGGGCGAAAGCCUGACGCAGCAACGCCGCGUGUGUGAUGAAGGUCUUCGGAUUGUAAAGCACUUUCGACCGGGACGAACCUCCCAGGGCCAAUACCCCUGGGUCUGACGGUACCGGGAGAAGAAGCACCGGCUAACUCUGUGCCAGCAGCCGCGGUAAUACAGAGGGUGCAAGCGUUGUUCGGAAUUAUUGGGCGUAAAGCGCGUGUAGGCGGCUUUGCAAGUCGGGUGUGAAAGCCCUCGGCUUAACCGAGGAAGUGCGCCCGAAACUGCAGAGCUGGAGUACCGGAGAGGGUGGCGGAAUUCCCCAAGUAGAGGUGAAAUUCGUAGAUAUGGGGAGGAACACCGGUGGCGAAGGCGGCCACCUGGACGGAUACUGACGCUGAGACGCGAAAGCGUGGGGAGCAAACAGGAUUAGAAACCCGGGUAGUCC